rnacentral:lncRNA from 1 species
GGGAUAUGGGGGGGCUUUUGGGGCCAGACAUUUUGGGUUGAAUCUGCCCCAUUUUGGGGGCUGAUUUUGGGUUGAAAGCGGGGGUUUUUGGGUCAGACGCUUUGGGUUGAAUGUGCUCCGUUUCGGGGCUGAUUUUGGGUUGAAUGUGCGCCAUUUGGGGGCUGAUUUGGGGUCGAAAAGGGGGCUUUUUGGGUUGGGCAUUUUGGGUUGAAAACGGGGGUUUUUGGGUCAGACGCUUUGGGUUGAAUCUACUGCAUGUGGGGGCUGAUUUUGGGUUGAAUGUGCUCCAUUUGGGGGCUGAUUUGGGGUUGAAAACGGCGCUUUUUGGGUCAGACUCUUUGGGUGGAAUCUGCUCGUUUUGGGGCUGAUUUUGGGUCAAAACUGGGGCUUUUUGGAUGGGGCAUUUUGGGUUGAAUUUGCUUUAUUUUGGGGCUGAUUUUGGGUUGAAAACGGGGCUUUUUGGGUCAGACAUUGUGGGUUAAACGUGCUGUGUUUUGGGGCUGAUUUUGGGUUGAACGUGCCCCAUUUGGGGGCUGAUUUGGGGUUGAAAACGGCGCUUUUCGGGUCAGACGCUUCGGGGCUGAUU